rfam:Camelus ferus unplaced genomic scaffold scaffold1904, whole genome shotgun sequence.
GCGGGUAUAGCUCUGUGGUAGAGCGCGUGCUUAGCAUGCACUAGGUCCUGGGUUCAAUCCCCAGCACCUCUG